UACGUAGGGGGCUAGCGUUGUCCGGCUUUAUUGGGCGUAAAGGGCGCGUAGGCGGUUCAAUAAGUCAGAUGUGAAAUUCCGGGGCUCAACCCCGGAGCUGCAUUUGAAACUAUCGAACUAGAGUUCAGUUAGGGUAAACGGAAUUCCACGUGUAGCGGUGAAAUGCGUAGAUAUGUGGAAGAACACCGGUGGUGAAGACGGUUUACUGGGCUGAUACUGACGCUGAGGCGCGAAAGCAUGGGGAGCAAACAGG
rnacentral:rRNA from 1 species